UAGCAAUAUUAUUUGAUGGCGACCAGCGCACGGGUGCGUAACACGUAUGCAAUCUACCUCGUACUUGGGCAUAACUCCGAGAAAUCGGUGCUAAUUCCCAAUGACACUAUGAAGUGGCAUCACUUUAUAGUUAAAGUUCCGGCGGUACGAGAUGAGCAUGCGCCCAAUUAGCUAGUUGGUGAGGUAAUGGCUCACCAAGGCUACGAUUGGUAGGGGUUCUGAGAGGAUGAUCCCCCACACUGGUACUGAGACACGGACCAGACUCCUACGGGAGGCAGCAGUGAGGAAUAUUGCGCAAUGGACGAAAGUCUGACGCAGCCAUGCCGCGUGAAGGAUGAAGGCCCUAUGGGUUGUAAACUUCUUUUGUACGGGAAAAAACCCUUCUACGUGUAGAGGGCUGAUGGUACCGUAAGAAUAAGCACCGGCUAACUCCGUGCCAGCAGCCGCGGUAAUACGGAGGGUGCAAGCGUUAUCCGGAUUUAUUGGGUUUAAAGGGUCCGU
rnacentral:rRNA from 1 species